rnacentral:lncRNA from 1 species
AAAAGAAUUACGUUACUUAUUUUUCACAGAAGAAUUAUCUUGUCUUCCAAUAAUAUCGAUUCCAGUCCCUCCCUUUAUAUUAUAGUGUUGGGAUAAGAUAUAAUUGACACAUGUGCCAAUUAUUUUCUUUCCAGUCAAGCAUCUAGGUAUACGUGUCAAAUUUAUGCUCACAAUUUUUGAUUUUUUUUUGUUUUUAUUUGGUGUUCGAUAUCCAUAUUGGAGUCCGACUAUUUCAAAUUUGCACUGUGUAGGACUCCAUUCGGCAGAAAAUGCUCCCUAUCAAGGAUUUUUUCAUACCCAAAGCUUGAACCCGAG